GGGGGUGCUUCUGGUGCCCGCGCGGCUCACCCUCUCUGCCCUAGGAGCAUGGGAUGGUGGCGGGGGAGCUUCCUUCCGAGUGCUGGGACCAGUUCACCUUCUUUGCCCUAGGAGCGUGGGAUGGCAGUGGAGGAGCUUCCUUCCAGAUGCUGGGACUGGCUCACCUUCUCUGCCCUAGGAGCGUGGUGUGGCAGUGGAGGACCCUCCUUCUGGAUGCUGGGACUGGCUCACCUUCUCUCUUAAUGAGAGUUCCAGUGGUAUCAAGAUUUUUAGUAACUGUAGCAUGCAUGAAUAUAGGCAUUUUGUUUCAAAAAUUGAGGCAGAUUGACUUCACAACCUUUCAAAUUUUCAACUUCUGUAUCAAACUCAACCAUUGGCUGGCAGUGGGAUUUUGGAAUCUAAUGAAGAAUAUGACUGUGGUUACAAAGAGAUAUGUUGCCAUCUCUUUGUCGAUAAAUCCUGCUUUUAAAAUGAAAGACAGAAUAAAACAACACAGUCUGAAUAGAUCUGCACCCUGUGAGUUUCUACAACCAGAGGCUGUACCCAGACUGUCACAUAGAAGAUCCCUCCAGUGCCUCAUCAGUAUCUUCUUCACAGUAAC
rnacentral:lncRNA from 1 species